AUUGAACGCUGGCGGCAUGCCUUACACAUGCAAGUCGAACGGUAACGCGGGGCAACCUGGCGACGAGUGGCGAACGGGUGAGUAAUACAUCGGAACGUGCCCAGUCGUGGGGGAUAACUACUCGAAAGAGUAGCUAAUACCGCAUACGAUCUGAGGAUGAAAGCGGGGGACCUUCGGGCCUCGCGCGAUUGGAGCGGCCGAUGGCAGAUUAGGUAGUUGGUGGGAUAAAAGCUUACCAAGCCGACGAUCUGUAGCUGGUCUGAGAGGACGACCAGCCACACUGGGACUGAGACACGGCCCAGACUCCUACGGGAGGCAGCAGUGGGGAAUUUUGGACAAUGGGGGCAACCCUGAUCCAGCCAUGCCGCGUGCGGGAAGAAGGCCUGGUUGUAACGACGUUUGUUCAGGAGAAAGUACCUUUGGUCGUAAUAACUUACGGAGGGAGUGACGGUACC
rnacentral:rRNA from 1 species